rnacentral:rRNA from 1 species
CCUACGGGUGGCAGCAGUGGGGGAUAUUGCACAAUGGGGGAAACCCUGAUGCAGCGACGCCGCGUGUGGGAAGACGGUCCUCUGGAUUGUAAACCACUGUCCCCAGGGACGAAGAUGACGGUACCUGGGGAGGAAGCUCCGGCUAACUACGUACAAGCAGCCGCGGUAAUACGUAGGGAGCGAGGGUUGUCCGGAAUUACUGGGUGUAAAGGGAGCGUAGGCGGGGAUGAAAGUUGGGUGUCAAAACUACCGGCUCAACUGGUAGUCGCACUCAAAACUGCAGCUCUUGAGUGAAGUAGAGGCAGGCAGAAUUCCUAGUGUAGCGGUGAAAUGCGUAGAUAUUAGGAGGAACACCAGUGGCGAAGGCGGCCUGCUGGGCUUUUACUGACGCUGAGUCUCGAAAGUGUGGGGAGCAAACAGGAUUAGAUACCCCUGUAGUC